AACAACAUGAAAAGAAAGAAAGAGAAAAGCGAAAAACCAUAAAAGAACAGCUUUUGAAAAAUGCUACAUUCACUAUAGAUAAAAGGAAAAGAGGAUUGCAAAACCCUACAGGAAUAAUAGGAAAGAAACGUAGUGAGAGAAUGAUUUCAUGUACUCUGAACCAAAAGACCCAAAAACCGUUGUUCCAAUUUCAUACCCUACCUAAACCAAAGCCCCGUUACAACCCAAAAAGACCUCAAAAAGUGUGUGUGAU
rnacentral:lncRNA from 1 species